CAAACAAUGAUCUGGACCUGAAACAUCCAGAGCCUGAAAGGGAUCUUGAUGAAGAAAUGCCUCAGCAAGGCUCAGAAGCCAUGCAUUCUUCUUCAGUGCAAGAUUUUGAAGAGACUGAGACCAGCCAGAUUCAGAAGACUGUGAGCUGCCUAA